GAGGCAUAUUAUUAGAUAAGUAUUUGAUUUGGAAACGUUAUUGUUAUAGACUGUUGCUUUGGCUCUUAGAUGAUUUCCUGUGUAGUAUAUGGGACUUAUGACUCAGCCAUGCUUGUCUGCACAUGUGGAUAUGUAAUAGAAUCUAAGUUUUCUGUGGAAUCUGAUCUAAGUUAUCUCACUUAGUAUGAGCAUUACAAAAGUUUCUUUAUUCAAAAUCUUAGAUCUGAGCUCCAGCCUCUAGCAAAUUGGAUAAACAAAAAAACUAAAUAGUCUCUACAAAUUGUGCUAAGAGAAAACUAAUAUUGUUAUUACUUUUAUU
rnacentral:lncRNA from 1 species